rfam:Erythrobacter sp. YT30 contig00002, whole genome shotgun sequence.
AGGUCCGUAGCUCAGUUGGUUAGAGCGCACCCCUGAUAAGGGUGAGGUCGGUGGUUCAAAUCCACUCGGACCUA